UCAUGCCGGCCACAUGACCUUGGAGGUGUCUACGGACAACGCCGGCUCUUUGGCUUAGAAAUGGAGAUGAGUACCAACCCCCAGAGUUGGACACAACUAGACUUAAUGUCAGGGGAAAACCUUUACCUUUACUGGAUUAUAUAACACUGUAGACUCCCUUUCAAAGCAGAUAAUGUGGAUUAUCUGCUUUGAUAAUCUGGAUUAUAUAGCAGUGAUGAAAGGGGCUUUAGAGCAUUGUUCAAGAACAGCAAACUGGAGGAAGGCAAAUUUCCCAUCUUCAAAAAGGCUUAAAUCAUUGCCAUCUGAUCAGCCUCAUAUCAAUACCAGGGAUGCCUUUAAAGUGGCAAUCUAGAAACACUUCAAAAGGAAUGACUAUGAUAAUUAAAAGUCAACAUGGGAUUCUCAAAAUUAGGCGUACCAAACUAAUCUUCUCUCUCUCUUUUCAGAUAGAAGAGGAAAAGAAUGCCGUGGAUGUAGCACAUUUUUAUUUCAGUUAGACCUUUGACAAAGUUUUCCAUUAUAUUCUGGCAAACAAGCUUAUAAAAUUUGGAUAAAAAGGUCACGGCCUCUGUGGGACAUAGUAUGUGCAUGAAGACAUGGAUUCUUCAGCUGACAUAUUACUGUACUUGCCACGUAUCCCAGAUGGAGCAAAAGUCACCAGAUGCCUUGCAUCUUGUGCCAAGUAUCCAGUCUUGUCUCCAACUCCCUGCCUUGGACUUACAUUAACUUCAGAAAAACUCCUGGACACUUUCCCCACUCUAACUGCUUGGAAGUGGAGUGUGUUUCAAUUCUGGAAUUAUAACUUUGGACUCUAAUAUUAUGUACUGGACAAUAUAUUUCUGGACUAUAUUUGACCUUCCCAGAAAGGUCUAUUGUUGGACUACAUUUUCUAUUUGUUUUUAUCCUACUAUAAUAUUUCCUUAAUAAAGAUAUUAGAUUGUUAUUGGCCUCCGUGUGUCGGUUCUUAGUGCUCCGCUGCUAGGGCGUGACAUCCAGAUCCAUCCAUGUUUGGGUUCACAUGCUGUCUGGAUGCAGGUGAACUACAGCUCCCCCAAAUGAAGGUGAAUUUUCCCCAAAGACCGCCAAUAUUUUUUUGCUGGUCAUGGGGGCUCUGUGUGCCAAGUUUGGUCCAAUUCCAUUUUUGGUAGAGUUCAGAGUGGUCAUUGAUUGCAGGUGAACUAUACAUCCCAGUACCUACAGCUCCAAAAUGUCCAGCCAAUUCCCCUCAAAACCCACCAGUAUUCAAAUUUGGGCAUAUCGGGUAUGCAUGCCAAGUUUGGUCCAGAUUCAUCAUUGUUUGGGUUCAUAGUGCGUUCUGGAUAUAGGUGAACUACAACUCCUAUACAUCCCUCCAAAGACCUCCAGUAUUUUUUUGUAGGUCAUGGGGGUUUUGUGUGCCAAAUUAGUUCCAGGUCCAUCAUUGGUGGAGUUCAGACUGCUCAUUGAUUGCAGUUGAACUAUAUAUCCCAGUACCUACAACUAAAUCAUGGUGAAUUCUUCCCAAACCUCUCUAGUAUGUUCAGUUGCUGAUCAAUUCCUGUUUGCUGUGUGCUAUAGAAAAUAAUAGGAAAGGGUUAAGGGAGAGGCAGUGGGCGGAGUCAUGCAAAUUCCACACCAAUGGAGAGCAUAAGGAACACUGGGAUGUGUCAAUGGUGGAGGAAAUACAAAAAAUCUAGGAGGAAAUUGUCCUCGUAUGAAAGCCUUCACUUGGGUGGUGGGCAGGACGGUGUUUGUGGAGGACAUUGACAGGGCUCUUAUUCAUGUUCAUAGCACUCUCUAUAACCUGCAAUGUAAUUGGAGGGAAGGCCUUUGGUGACUCCUUAGUGGGAGCUAUAGCUAUUCAUGGAAGUGGGAGCCUGUCUAUGUAAGUGGACGCCCCAGCCACACACACACACAUAUUUUUCUCUUUCAUUAUGUGAAUAGAUUAUUUUUCACACAAAAAGAAGGAUAGUGGAAAAGUCAAGUGUAAAAUCUAUCUAUCUAUCUAUCUAUCUAUCUAUCUAUCUAUCUAUCUAUCUAUCUCAGUGUUUGUAUGUAUGCGUGUUUUCCUCAAAUAAUCUGGAUUUUAUAUGGCAGAAUAGAAGGGGCCUUAGAAGCCAAUAGCAGUUCAAAAACAUGCAAAUGUGAGUUGAUCAAUAGGUACCACUCUGGUGGGAAGGUAACAACGCUCCAUGCAGUCGUGCUGACCACAUGACCUUGGAAGGGUCUAUGGACAACGCCGGCUCUUCAGCUUAGAAAUGGAGAUGAGCAUCAACUCCCAGAGUCGGAUACGACUAGAUUUAAUGUCAGGGGAAAACCUUUACCUUUACCUAUAAGUCAAUGAGGUCCUGAGUUUAGACCAGGGGUCCCCAAACAUUUUAAACCGGGGGCCAGUUCACGGUCCCUCAGACCAUUGGAGGGCCAG
ensembl:lncRNA